GACGAACGCUGGCGGCGUGCUUAACACAUGCAAGUCGAACGGAAAGGCCCUGCUUUUGUGGGGUGCUCGAGUGGCGAACGGGUGAGUAACACGUGAGUAACCUGCCCUUGACUUUGGGAUAACUUCAGGAAACUGGGGCUAAUACCGGAUAGGAGCUCCUGCUGCAUGGUGGGGGUUGGAAAGUUUCGGCGGUUGGGGAUGGACUCGCGGCUUAUCAGCUUGUUGGUGGGGUAGUGUCUUACCAAGGCUUUGACGGGUAGCCGGCCUGAGAGGGUGACCGGCAACAUUGGGACUGAGAUACGGCCCAGACUCAUACGGGAGGCAGCAGUGGGGAAUAUUGCACAAUGGGCGGAAGCCUGAUGCAGCAACGCCGCGUGCGGGAUGACGGCCUUCGGGUUGUAAACCGCUUUCGCCUGUGACGAAGCGUGAGUGACGGUAAUGGGUAAAGAAGCACCGGCUAACUACGUG
rnacentral:rRNA from 1 species